UCAUAUGUUUCUCUCUCUCCACCAAAAAGUAAACUCGGUCUCUGUGUUUGAAAUUGUUGUCAUUCUCUCUCCUCGAUGAAUUCUCUAUCUCUCUCCUCGAUGAAUUCAUAAUUUUCGAGCUUCUCCCCGUCUCCAUCUCCAUCCAUCUCCAAAUUGAAGGUAGUGAAGCAGUAGAAAGUGUUCGAAAUUGUACACACACUCCCUCCAUUGUUGGAACAGGUCCAUUAAAAAGGGAGGUAUGCAAACCUGUGGCUUCCUCAUCAAAGCCCAAACCUGUGGGCCAAUCGAAAUAUGUGGCUAUGACUGGUAAACGUAAGGCAAAAUGUGAUGUUGACGACAAUUAUGAAGAAGGUGAGGAUCACGAGGAUGAGGAAUCUGAACAUUCGAGCAAUGAGGGUGGUUCAGAUUCAAGUUCUGGAUUUAUGGAGGUGAUGAUUUAGGAGUAUUUGAAGAGAAUUGACAGAGUAGGAAGAGAAAAGGAAAGUCACUGUAUGGUGGGGCGAAUAAGAAGGUUUGUUGGCAUAAACAAGUUGUAGUUGAUAAGGCUACCAUGUUGUAAGUACUUUGUUUGUGUCAAUUUCUGAACAGUGAAAAGGUAUAUAAUGUUUAUUUUCAGGGCAUUAAAACAGAAGGACAUAGAGUUAUGACUGAUGGUGUAGUCUUACGGACACAUUAUGAGAACAUUGGGAAGGUAUAGAAAUGCUCUGCUUAAGGUGUAUUUAUCUAUGAAGUACUUGUAAUUUAUAGUUUUAGUUCUUGUUUGUAUGUGAAAUGAUGCUACUUUGAGUGAA